rnacentral:lncRNA from 1 species
UCUUCAUCCCUAUUAGAAGAAAAUCAAGAAACCUUGAGGCACUCUACAAAUCAUAAAAUCACAUACUCGCAAACCUUCAACGAUUCCAAUGACAAAUUCAGGUACGCUUCCACUUUCAUUCUUAUAUUGUAUUCGAGUAUGAGUUCUAAGGAUAUGAGUUCAUAGGAUAUGAACUCAAAGUGAUUAGAUUAGAAUUAUUUUCUUGAUUUCUAU